rnacentral:rRNA from 1 species
GAUGAACGCUGGCGGCGUGCCUAAUACAUGCAAUUCGAGCGAACAGACGAGGAGCUUGCUCCUCUGACGUUAGCGGCGGACGGGUGAGUAACACUUGGAUAACCUACCUAUAAGACUGGGAUAACUUCGGGAAACCGGAGCUAAUACCGGAUAAUAUAUUGAACCGCAUGGUUCAAUAUUGAAAGACGGUUUUGCUUUCACUUAUAGAUGGAUCCGCGCCGCAUUAGCUAGUUGGUAAGGUAACGGCUUACCAAGGCGACGAUGCGUAGCCGACCUGAGAGGGUGAUCGGCCACACUGGAACUGAGACACGGUCCAGACUCCUACGGGAGGCAGCAGUAGGGAAUCUUCCGCAAUGGGCGAAAGCCUGACGGAGCAACGCCGCGUGAGUGAUGAAGGUCUUCGGAUCGUAAAACUCUGUUAUUAGGGAAGAACAAAUGUGUAAGUAACUAUGCACGUCUUGACGGUACCUAAUCAGAAAGCCACGGCUAACUACGUG